AAUGUUUUGAUGCCGUCAAAUUUGAUUUGAAUUGAUGUCUACAUGACGGACACGAAGAAUGAAAUAAUUUACCCAUCGUACCCGUCAUAAAGAAAAAAAAAAUUCAAUGCAUUUGCAAUUUUCUCAUUACCACUCGUGUCUCUCAUGUCAAGAUUUAACAAGUCCGUGACAAGUCCGGGCCAGUUCUGCCGACCGCGGAGUCGAUUCAAGUGGCAACACUGUCUCAAAUGCAAGACUUGAUUCUUCCCGCUCUGGCCUUGGACACGGGCCAAGAUGGAGAUCCUUGGGAUGGGCCAAGAAUCAAGGGGCCCGAAAAACACCUUGAACACAAAAAAAGCACCUCAAGACAGAUGAGAGGUGUAAGAAUUUACAACAGCCAUAUCAUUUUCAAUGAUCCGAGGAUCUCCGAGGCCUCCUUCCCAUUCAUGGUCCCAAUUAGUCUUGUCGGGAGUCAGACAUCAGGCGUGAUUUGUGCAUCAAUCAUCACUCGAAAAUCCCGCCGAGGUCUUCCCAGGUGGUGAAUGGAACGCUCAAUUACAACCAAAGUACAACUGGUGCGAUUAGUGUUGGCUUGCCAGGAGAACGAACAUGGGUAACUUCUCCCUAAGUGAAUUUUCGCAAAGUGUCAUUAGUCCGGAUUUCCUUCGGCGAUAGUGCUCUACUUUGGAUCCGCCUGUAUUUUUACAACAAAGAUGACAGUGGAACACAAGUCCCGAAAGAGUCAAAAUAUACCUAUGCCAAGAAGGGCAGAGCUAUAAUUUGCGAAAAAUAUUUGCCAAGUGAAGAGUAGGCAUAAGCAAUUACAUCAUCAUCGUCAUCAUCAUUAUCAUCAUCGUGAUCGUCGUCUUCUUCAUCAUCAUCAUGAAAGCUGGAAAAUGGAGUGGAAUUUAAUUACCUUAAUGGAUAAAACCAUACUCAAAGGGUGGAAGCGAUACCGAAUUCCAAACGAGUGUACGUACGAGCCUCGAUGAGCCUGAAGUCCACUUGUCCAUGUACAUAUACGUACAUAAAUACGAGGAAACUAAUCCACUACGGUUGUUGUCAUUCAUGAUUCGGCUUGCUUUAAGACGAGUUCCCAAGAAUCAUCACGAGAGACUGAGGGAGUCGCUUUGAUGGGGACAAGCCGGAUCCUCUAACCGCCACAACACACCGACCGCUGUUGUUUGCGUAUUUAUCGAGCACUUUUAAUGAUGAAUUCACUUCCUCUCGAUUCCAUCCAAAGAUGUUCAGAGAGACAAAUCAAAUCCGAAACCCCCGCGGGAUCCCAGGCUCCAACCACAAAACGCGUGAUGAUUCCACGGCUCGUUUCCAAGAGCAACCACCUUCACCUCGAGUUUUGAGAGUGCGGGAAUGAAGUCGAUGCGUGGGAAAUUCCGGUCGUUUAUAGCUCCACAGAACUGGUCUUUUAUACAAUCUUUCACCCAAGAAAAUGACACGGUUCCAAUUGUGUAUUGCUCGUGAUAUCAGCGAUGGGGAGUAACAAUUGCUCUCUUUGAACACUGCGUGUACACGUAGACCAUGGCUUGGUGUCCCCAAGUUCAUGGGAUCGGGCAGACAAGCUUGAUCCAGAUCCAGUGUGAGGAAUGACUUAUGAAGUACGCCACUUGCCAGAUUUGAGCAGUCACUCUCGCUUGGGCUUUGAUGUCUCUCCUUAUUUAUGGAGCAAUAACUGAGCUUGAGCGUCCACGGACGAGCCUUGACAAGUAUUGAAAAUGUGCAUUCGUUGUCGAUAAAGAACAGAUUUCGGUCUCUGCAUACUCGGACGCUAAAAGGUCGGUUGGAGCAGAGUAGAUGCGGGUAAUUUCUAGACCUUCGCAAUGUCUUCGGAUGCCUCUGAACAUCAGCUUGCCGAUCCCAUUGAGUAAGUGCGUGCAUAAGUACUUGGUAAGUAAGUAAGUACAGUAAGUACGUAAGUGACUGAUUACCUGCAUGGAGGAAGCACCUUUGAAAGAUGCCGAUUCCCAUUGAAAGGCGAUAACAUGUUUGCUCAUAAAAAUAGAUGAAAAUGUUUGGCUUCCAUAAAAAAAAACACGAGUCGAGAAGUGGGUCUCCUUGUUCUUCUCGUUUCAAUUCCUAAUGAGAGGCUGACUGGCUGGCUGGCUGGGCCGCUAUGUACAUGACUCGCUGGCAUCACGAGGUUCAACGCCUGGCACCGGAAAACAUGGGCAAUAAAAAUGCGAAAGUGCUCGGCAUAGCAGACACAACAAGAGAAAUGAUAUGAUUAAUGGCCUGGAAGACGGGUGCAUGCAAUUCAAGCAAACAAAACCAUAUUGAAUCGGAAUGAUUCUUCUUAUCGUGAUGCC